GAUGAACGCUGGCGGCGUGCCUAAUACAUGCAAGUCGAGCGAACAGAUGAUGAGCUUGCUCCGCUGACGUUAGCGGCGGACGGGUGUGUAACACGUGGAUAACCUACCUAUAAGACUGGGAUAACUUCGGGAAACCGGAUCUAAUACCGGAUAAGAUAUUGAACCGCAUUGUUCAAUAGUGAAAUACGGUGUUGCUGUCACUUAUAGAGGGUUCUGCGCCGUAUUAGCUAGUUGGUAAGUUAACGGCCUAUCAAGGCAAGGAGGCGUUGACGAACUGUGUGAGUGAUAGGCGGCACGGGAGGUGGGCCACGGACAAGACUCCUAAGAGAGGCAGCAAUAGGGUAUGUUCCGCAAUGGGCGAAAGCAUGGCGGAGCAACGCCGCGUGAGAGAUGACGGUCUUCGGAGCGUAAAACUCUGUUAUUAGGGAAGAACAACUGUGUAAGUAACUAUGCACGUCUUGACGGUAACUAAUAAGAAAGCCACGGCUAACUACGUG
rnacentral:rRNA from 1 species